AAAAAUCUUUAUUGUAAGGGCACUGGAACAGGCUAGCCAGUGAAGCUGUGGUUGUCCCAUCCUUGGAAGUGUUCAAAGCCAGGCUGGAUGCAGCUGUAAGCAACCUGAACAAGCAGAGGGUGUCCCUGCCCACGCCAGCACGGCUGGAACCAGAUAAUCUUUACAGUCCCUUCCAACUCCGACCCUUCUGUGAUUCCGUGCCUCUCGCAAGCUGUCCCCGGCUGCGCCCCACGGGCCCGCUGGCCCGGCCGCCGCUGUCGGGAGGGCCCGCGGGCGGCGCUGCCGCCCGAGGCGCCGCGGAGCCCGGGGGCUGCCGGGUCCGGACGGCCCGGCCCGGCCCCACCGGGCCGGCGGGGAGCUCCGCGGGCGAGGCCUCCGUGCAGCGCCCCGGCCCGGGAGGCCUCGCCGAGCCCCGGCCGCGGCUCCGCCGGAAGGGGAGCGGAGCCGGCCCGGCCGAGGGGAGGGGAGAGCGGCGCGGGGGAGGGGACACCGCCCGCCCCUGCGCCCCCGGAGGCGGGCGGGCCGGCGCUCCGCGCUCCCCUCCGCGCGGCCGUACCUGCGCUGGAAGUCGCUCCGGAAGGGCGCCAGGGAUGGAUACAAAGCUGCCAGCUGCUGCCGCUGCCAGUGGAAACAGGAAGAGGAGGAGUGUUGGGAAUAACUGCUCUUUGAUGGGGACAGCAGUGGAAAAUAUGAGAAUGGUGUCUAAGGCGUGUGUCUGGCACUCAGUUACCGUCUGAGCUUGGCAAUCUUCCUGAUGCAGACGAGAGACAGGGCUUGCUUUAUAAGUCAUCAUCCCCUGUGGCCUUCACAAGAAGAACAGUGAUGUUUACAUUGGGAGAUUCUAAUUCCUCACCUUUGGCCCUCCUGCAGCUGUCUCCUCAGCAACCCCUGUGUUGUCAUCUGAUUCAACACAUGCACAAGGAGCACUUACAAAGGGAGCUGAGUCAUUCUCUAAAUCUGGACCAUCGUCCUCUCAACACAAAACCUUCCUCUGAAGCACUUAAGGGCAAGUAUUAACUGUGUCAUUUUGCAUGGGAAGUUUUAUCUUCUCUUACUUUAAAUUACUUCUGUGUCUAACUGCAAAGCCUGUAAUUUAGCUGUAUCCACCAAAAUAUUCUUGGUCAUUUGUGUUACAUAAUGUCAAAUACUUAUUUAUCUUCUUAUUUCCAUGUUCUAUUUCCUUUUCUUUUAAUUAAUUGUCAUUUCAAAAUAGACUCACAUCUUCACUGGAUUUUUUUUUUGUACAUAGUUGUAGUUUCUGUGAACUGUGACUACUUUUCUGUCAUUCAGGAACCCUUGAGUCUCAAGGAACGUAACCUGUACAAUCAAAUUCAAAAUUAUUCCAGAGACAACAUUAAAGGAUGCUCAGUAUUAAUAUCAAUCUGACUUAAGUUAUCUGAUAUACCUAACAUUUAAAAAGGUUGAUAAAUGAGGACAUGUAUUAGACACCCUAAAAGUGAGGAAAAAGAUGAACUGUUUAUGUCAUUAUUUUCUUAGCACUAUCAAAUGUCAUACACAUUCUUUGCAUUUUUGAAUGGAUGGUCUUAUUUCCAGUCUUAUCUCAGUGCCUGCUAAAAAUGUGUGCUCUGGUAGGUUGAAACCAUUCUAGCACUACUACAAGUGAUGAAUACUAGGAUUUUUUUCAGGUUUAUGUCCAAGUUGCUGGGUUACUUGAAGCUCUGAAUAAGAUCUGCAUGAAGACUUGUGAUGAGCUCUGUAACUGAGUUGUAUUACAUUGCUCAAAAUAAAGCUUUUCGGUUGACUUCUUCAGUAUAAUUCUUGUCAUGUUUUAGGAAUUUUCAUGCUAGCUCUGUUUUUAUAAAUGCUACCUUUAUUAAAUCUGUAAUAUCCCAAAGUAAUACUUUUUGCUUUGGGUUUAUUUUCUGAUUUAUAUUCUAGCAUGUUUAUCUUCUCUCUCUCGUCUAGUUCUUUUUUGAUUUAACAUUGAUUUUUUUUCCCUUUGUUUUACAGUAAGUCAUGUGGCAUUGACAUCCCUAAGAAAUUUAAAGUUACAUGGAAGAUAAUUAAACAGCAUAUCGAUGGAUGAGAUAGACGUGAUGGUUUCUCCGUGAUGUCAUUGCAUGUUGGUGAAGGGACAGCACUGUGAAAUAUGAGAUGCAGUGUCAUCAAAAUAUUACCCUGGUUUUGCAAGGAGUUGCACAAGGAGCCAUUCCUUUUCUGCAAAAGGAAGGCUUGAUUAUUUGUAACAGUAAAAACAAAAACCAACACUGCCAGCAACAGAAAAAUAACUGUUUCCUGUGUUUUUAAUUUCCUUUCUAUUCCAUAUAGAUAUUUCUAUUACUGAAAAAAAAGGCUAUCACCUCUUGUCUCUGUUUUUUCUUAAAUCUAGAAAUGUUUUGCAAAUUUAAAUUAAAAAAGUCAAAUGUCUUGCUCUGUUUCUUCAUUUUUAGAAUAAACUGAAGUAUUUCAGCUUUUAGUGUC